CAAACAGGAAGAUAGUACCACAACAUUGGCCCAAGCUCUAGCUGAAUCCAUUCACAUAAGUCGCCUACCAGUACCAGAACCUACAGUCUUCAACGGAGAUCCUCUCAAGUACAAGGAUUGGAAAUUGUCGUUUCAAAUGCUGAUAGACAGAAAGAACAUCCCAGUGAAUGAAAAGAUUUACUAUCUUCGCAAGUAUGUUGGAGGACCGGCGAGAAAGGCUGUUGAGAGUUAUUUUCUGUUGGGAACAGAGCUUGCUUAUUACUCAGCAUGGAACACUUUGGAGGAAAGAUACAGAAGUUCAUUUGUAAUCGCCAAGGCUUUCAGAGAUAAGUUGACAUCAUGGCCAAGGAUUGGUAACAAGGAUAGCAUUGAACUUCGAGAAUUUUCAGAUUUUCUCAGAGGAUGUGAAACGGCCAUGCUUCAGGUUAAAGGUCUUGAAGUUUUGAAUGACUGCAAUGAGAAUCAGAGAAUGCUAAGCAAGCUACCUGAUUGGUUGUCAGCAAGAUGGAAUCGAAAGGUCAUUGAAAUUGAAGAGCAAGAUGGUUCUUUCCCAACAUUUAGCCACUUUGUUGACUUCAUUGCGAGAGAGGCCAAGAUUGCGUGCAAUCCAGUAACAUCGCUUCAUGCACUCAAAGCAGGUGACUCAGAGAAAACGAAAUCAUCCAAGACAAGAAGUGUUGGAGCAAAGGUGCUAGUGAGUGCUGCAGAAGAGACGUCCAACACAAAAAAAUGUGUGUUUUGUGAAAACUCAAAUCAUAGCAUUCACACAUGUAGGAAGUUUAUGGACAAGGUCUUGAGUGAAAGAGUCAAGUUUGUGCAAACCAAGGGACUGUGCUUUGGAUGUCUUGACUUUGGACACCAAUCAAAGAAAUGUGAAAAGAGAAAGAUGUGUGACACAUGUAAAGGGAAACACCCGACAUGUUUGCAUGAAGAACGAGACAAACCCUCAAGGAAAAGGAAAGAAAAAGAAAGUGACAAGGAACCACAAAUGAAAGAGAUGGAAGACAAUAAAGAGAGUAGAGAAACCAAACCCAAGGAAGCACCAAGUGAAGCAAUAUCAAACCGUGUGAUUCAAAGUGACAGAAGUAAUCUCACAUCUACAAUCAUUCCGGUUUGGUUAUCCACAACAAGCAAUCCUGAACAUGAGAUUCUUCUCUAUGCUCUUCUUGAUAGCCAAAGUGACACGACAUUCGUCUUGAAAGAAAAGGCAGAUGCUCUGGAUGCAGAGAAGAAAUGUGUGCAGUUAAAGCUCUCGACAAUGUCUUCUAAAGAUACUUUAGUACCAAGUCAAAGGUUGUCCGGAUUACAGGUCAGAGGUUUCUAUUCUUCAAGGAGAAUUCCUCUUCCUGUGACAUACACAAGAGAGUUUAUUCCUGCGAAUUUGAGUCAUAUUCCCACACAAAGGACAGCAAGAGCGUGGCCACACUUAAAGCACCUGGCUGAAGAAAUUGCUCCACUGAUUGAAUGUGAAGUAGGUCUGCUCAUUGGUUACAAUUGCUCACAAGUGUUGGUACCCAGAGAAGUUGUGGUAGGAAAAGAUAAUGAACCUUUUGCCCAAAGAACAGACCUUGGCUGGACAAUAGUUGGAGGAACUAAUCCAUGUGUUGACUAUGGGGAUGCCAUAGGAUGUAGCCACAAAAUCAUUGUCAAGGAAGUGACACUCAAUCAGUCAGCUGAACAGUUGGUCAAAGAAGUGCAAUACAUCUGUCGCACACAAGUCAAAGAGGUGGUCACAUCCGCAGAUGUAAUUAAAGUGCUCGGGUCCGACUUCAAUGAAAGAAAGGUGGAAGACUCACACUUCUCACAAGAAGAUUUAAGGUUCAUCUCCAUAAUGGAAGAAGGAGUGAAGAUUAAAGCAGAUGGACACUGUGUUACCUUUGCCAUUUAAAGAAGACAGACCAAGUCUGGUAAACAACCGGAGCUGUGCAGAACACAGACUCAAAUAUUUGAAGAGAAGAUUUGAGAAGGACAACCAAUACCACAAAGACUACACAGAGUUCAUGAGAGAGACUAUAGAGCGUGGUGAUGCAGAAAGAGUUCCCUCUGUAGACCUGGACAAAAGCCCUGCCUGGUACAUUCCACACCAUGGAGUGUAUCAUCCACAAAAGCCUGGCAAAAUAAGAGUGGUGUUUGAUUGUUCAGCGAAGUACGUAGGAGCGUCCUUGAACGACUACCUGCUUACAGGGCCAGAGUUAACCAACUCUCUGGUGGGGGUCCUGUGUCGAUUUCGGAAAGGUCCAGUUGCAGUGAUGUGCGACAUUGAGCGCAUGUUUCAUCAAUUCAGAGUCAGAGAAGAAGAUCAAGAUUACUUUCGCUUCUUGUGGUGGGACAAUGGAGACUUCAACUCUACUCCAUCUGUCUAUCGCAUGCGCGUACACCUGUUUGGAGCUGCUUCGUCCCCUGCCUGUGCGAACUUUGGUCUCAAGUAUAUUGCUGCACAAGGUCAAGGCAAGUUCAGUGAAGCUACCAUAAGAUUCAUUGAGCGAAAUUUUUAUGUGGACGAAGGUCUUAUCAGUUUCCACUCAGAAGAAGAAGCAAUUCGUUUGGUAAAGGAAGCAAAGGAACUUUGCAGCACAGGAGGCUUGCGACUUCACAAGUUCGUUUCAAACAGUAAGCAAGUGCUUAAUUCGCUGCCGGAAGAAGAUUGUGCAGAGACAAUAAGAAAAGACUUGUCACUGGGUGAGCAACAAAUUGAAAGAGCCCUAGGUGUCAAAUGGUGCAUCGACUCGGAUCAUUUCCAGUUUCGAGUAGUUGUGAACGAGCAGCCACUUUCCAGAAGAGGAGUGUUGUCCACGGUAGCCUCUAUUUAUGAUCCACUUGGCUUUGUGGCACCUUUUGUUCUACUUGGGAAGCAGAUACUACAGCAGAUGUGUCGUGAGAAAGCAGAUUGGGAUGAACCACUCACAAGCGAUCUGAAGUCACGAUGGGAGUCCUGGUUGUUGGAUCUAAAAAAUCUAGCAGAUGUCAAAAUUGACAGAUGUUACGUGCCAAGAGAUUUUCAAACAGUUCAGAAGUACGAGCUUCACCAUUUCUCAGACGCAAGUGUUUCAGGGUAUGGUGUUUGUACGUACCUGAGAGCUGUCAGUGAAGCAGGACAAGUCCACUGCUCUCUUGUCUUUGCCAAGUCCAGAGUAGCACCCACGAAGGUUGCUACGGUGCCAAGAUUGGAGCUGUCUGCAGCAGUUGUAGCAGUGCGGAUUAGUGACAUGCUCAAAGCAGAGUUGGAGCUAGAAGAUGCCCAAGAAUUCUUCUGGACAGAUUCUCAAGUUGUCUUGGGAUAUAUCAACAAUGAUGCAAGACGUUUCCAUGUUUUCGUUGCAAAUCGCAUUCAGCGUAUUAAGGAAAGCACUCAACCGAUGCAAUGGAAGUUUGUGGCAUCAGAUCUCAAUCCAGCUGACCAUGCGUCGCGCGGACUGAAGGCCAAAGACCUCAUUACCUCCAACUGGUUUAGCGGUCCAAGUUUUCUUUGGCAAGAGAAACUUCCCCACGGAGAAGUCAAGGUGGGAAAACCUGAUGCAGAGGAUCCAGAAGUACGCAAAGCUGGUGUACUCCAUACAACUACGGAAACAUUCUUUGGCAGAACGUUUUCUGAAAUUCUCCAGUUGGCUAAAGUUGUUGCCAUACACCCGAGUGAAGAUGGAUGUAUACGCAAAGUACAACUGUUAAUGAGUGACUCAUUGUUAGAUGACCAUGGAAAGAGACUGAGUAAAACAGUUCUACUUGACAGACCUAUACACAAGACUGUGACACUAUUAGAAGCAGAUUAGUUUACAUUUCAUAAGUUCAUGGGUGAAAAUCACAAGUGAUUUGGUGGGAGUGUAGCUGCCGUCAUAGGCAACUCUCACAUUUAAGUUCAUUUUAUUGGAUUUGAUGUUGAAACAAUUAGAUUUAUAUGUUUAAAUGUGUAUUUGUGCUAACUGUGCAAUUAGAUAGGAACCUUUUCUAUAGUUCCGUUUGUUGUUGCUAAGAGGGUAUUUUUUGGCUGUCACACUCAGCAAGCUAAUUAAGAGACAAGCCACGAGGUUUGCACGUCUACAGAAAGUUGUAAAAGAGUGCCUUUUUGGACUACCCCACGACGUAAGGAUUAAAGUUUUUAUUCCCUUUGAGUGAGGCCAAUGAGUUCUGACGACAUUGUAUCGGCUGUGGUUGGACAUCAUUACAUGUUAAGGCAU
ensembl:lncRNA